ACGUUAUACUUUUUUUUUGAGAAAGAGCAAGGACUGGUAUUCAGUAGCAACUCCACGAAUACACGAUUGGUUGUUAUCGAAGUACUCAAGUCUGACGGUUAUGGAUCCAUGCACCAAUUGCGCCAACCAAAGAGUGCAUAAAGCUAAGCGACAUCCUAGCAGCAGAGUUUUGAGGAGGUCAGUGUGAGUGCGCACACGCAAUGGAAGUGCAAUUCUCCUUCCUAAACGUUGUUCGAGGCGGCCCUUCCUACUCUUUUAGGAGAAACCUCGUUUUCAUACUGAUUGUGUUCACUCUAGUAGAAUGUAUAUAUCAAGAUACAUGUAAACUAUAGUGAUUUUUCACCAUGUAAUCAUAUUCAAUGGCCUGCUUGGUAUAAUUUUAUCCAGAUAUUUGUUUCUGCA